GAUGGACGCUGGCGGCGUGCCUAAUACAUGCAAGUCGAGCGAACAGAUGAGGAGCUUGCUCCUCUGACGUUAGCGGCGGACGGGUGAGUAACACGUGGAUAACCUACCUAUAAGACUGGGAUAACUUCGGGAAACCGGAGCUAAUACCGGAUAAUAUAUUGAACCGCAUGGUUCAAUAGUGAAAGACGGUUUUGCUGUCACUUAUAGAUGGAUCCGCGCCGCAUUAGCUAGUUGGUAAGGUAACGGCUUACCAAGGCAACGAUGCGUAGCCGACCUGAGAGGGUGAUCGGCCACACUGGAACUGAGACACGGUCCAGACUCCUACGGGAGGCAGCAGUAGGGAAUCUUCCGCAAUGGGCGAAAGCCUGACGGAGCAACGCCGCGUGAGUGAUGAAGGUCUUCGGAUCGUAAAACUCUGUUAUUAGGGAAGAACAAAUGUGUAAGUAACUAUGCACGUCUUGACGGUACCUAAUCAGAAAGCCACGGCUAACUACGU
rnacentral:rRNA from 1 species